CGCUAGCUACAGGCUUAACACAUGCAAGUCGAGGGGCAGCAUGGUCUUAGCUUGCUAAGGCCGAUGGCGACCGGCGCACGGGUGAGUAACACGUAUCCAACCUGCCGUCUACUCUUGGACAGCCUUCUGAAAGGAAGAUUAAUACAAGAUGGCAUCAUGAGUCCACAUGUUCACAUGAUUAAAGGUAUUCCGGUAGACGAUGGGGAUGCGUUCCAUUAGAUAGUAGGCGGGGUAACGGCCCACCUAGUCUUCGAUGGAUAGGGGUUCUGAGAGGAAGGUCCCCCACAUUGGAACUGAGACACGGUCCAAACUCCUACGGGAGGCAGCAGUGAGGAAUAUUGGUCAAUGGGCGAGAGCCUGAACCAGCCAAGUAGCGUGAAGGAUGACUGCCCUAUGGGUUGUAAACUUCUUUUAUAAAGGAAUAAAGUCGGGUAUGCAUACCCGUUUGCAUGUACUUUAUGAAUAAGGAUCGGCUAACUCCGUGCCAGCAGCCGCGGUAAUACGGAGGAUCCGAGCGUUAUCCGGAUUUAUUGGGUUUAAAGGGAGCGUAGAUGGAUGUUUAAGUCAGUUGUGAAAGUUUGCGGCUCAACCGUAAAAUUGCAGUUGAUACUGGAUAUCUUGAGUGCAGUUGAGGCAGACGGAAUUCGUGGUGUAGCGGUGAAAUGCUUAGAUAUCACGAAGAACUCCGAUUGCGAAGGCAGCCUGCUAAGCUGCAACUGACAUUGAGGCUCGAAAGUGUGGGUAUCAAACAGGAUUAGAUACCCUGGUAGUCCACACGGUAAACGAUGAAUACUCGCUGUUUGCGAUAUACAGCAAGCGGCCAAGCGAAAGCGUUAAGUAUUCCACCUGGGGAGUACGCCGGCAACGGUGAAACUCAAAGGAAUUGACGGGGGCCCGCACAAGCGGAGGAACAUGUGGUUUAAUUCGAUGAUACGCGAGGAACCUUACCCGGGCUUAAAUUGCAGAUGAAUUACGGUGAAAGCCGUAAGCCGCAAGGCAUCUGUGAAGGUGCUGCAUGGUUGUCGUCAGCUCGUGCCGUGAGGUGUCGGCUUAAGUGCCAUAACGAGCGCAACCCUUGUUGUCAGUUACUAACAGGUCAUGCUGAGGACUCUGACAAGACUGCCAUCGUAAGAUGUGAGGAAGGUGGGGAUGACGUCAAAUCAGCACGGCCCUUACGUCCGGGGCUACACACGUGUUACAAUGGGGGGUACAGAGGGCCGCUACCACGCGAGUGGAUGCCAAUCCCAAAAACCUCUCUCAGUUCGGACUGGAGUCUGCAACCCGACUCCACGAAGCUGGAUUCGCUAGUAAUCGCGCAUCAGCCACGGCGCGGUGAAUACGUUCCCGGGCCUUGUACACACCGCCCGUCAAGCCAUGGGAGCCGGGGGUACCUGAAGUGCGUAACCGCGAGGAGCGCCCUAGGGUAAAACUGGUGAC
rnacentral:rRNA from 1 species